ACGGAGGAAGCCGAAAAUCCGUACUAGAGUAGGCG
ncrna:unclassified sequences DTF805b RNA